UCUACCUCUGCAUCUGGGAUAACCCACCGAAAGGUGAGCUAAUACCGGAUACGUUUACCGUUAUAUAAAUCAUGGUAAAGAAAGAUGGCCUCUGAUUCAAGCUAUUGUGCAGUGAGGAGCUUGCGUACCAUUAGCUAGUUGGUGGGGUAAUGGCCUACCAAGGCAACGAUGGUUAGCGGGUCUGAGAGGAUGAUCCGCCACACUGGAACUGGAACACGGACCAG
rnacentral:rRNA from 1 species